UGGGGAAUAUUGGACAAUGGGCGCAAGCCUGAUCCAGCCAUGCCGCGUGAGUGACGAAGGCCUUAGGGUUGUAAAGCUCUUUUGGCGGGGAAGAUAAUGACGGUACCCGCAGAAUAAGCUCCGGCUAACUUCGUGCCAGCAGCCGCGGUAAUACGAAGGGAGCUAGCGUUGUUCGGAAUCACUGGGCGUAAAGCGCACGUAGGUGGAUAGUUAAGUGAGGGGUGAAAGCCCGAGGCUCAACCUCGGAAUUGCCUCUCAUACUGGCUGUCUCGAGUCCGAGAGAGGUGGGUGGAAUUCCUAGUGUAGAGGUGAAAUUCGUAGAUAUUAGGAAGAACACCGGUGGCGAAGGCGGCCCACUGGCUCGGUACUGACACUGAGGUGCGAAAGCGUGGGGAGCGAACAGGAUUAGAUACCCAUGUAGUCCCUGAGCGGGCUGGCAAGGC
rnacentral:rRNA from 1 species